AUUUAGCGACUGCUGAUUGGAUGAAAAAGUGGGAUAUGUUCUAACGGAGGGUUUACCGAUUUGCCUUCUUAUCAAUCAACAAAAUUAUGGGAAGGAUAUCGUCCUUUUCGAUAUAUUAGUCAUGCUGUAUAUUUUAUUUGAUAAAAUGAAAUAUAUCGGAAAGGACAGUUCAUUUAGGAAGGCAACAAACCAAUAGACCUCCUAUAAAAUGUAAGCAGUGCCAUGACAUGGUGGGAACUUUUACUGAUUGUUGUGGCUUUUAAUGUCGUGAUUGGAAUUGUCACCAUUCUCCUAAAGAGAAUGUUUGAUAACAGGAGAUGCCACGAACCGAAAAGAAGUUUUGUCUUCAGAAGGAACCUUGUGGGCGUAGCAUCUGUUUCAACGCAGACUUUACCCACAUUUACAGUUCAGACCGACUGUCUGGGAACUAAAUGUCUUGUGAUGGAUACAGACAAUUAUCGUUUCUCUUUGACUGUAUAUGUAUUAUGUAUCUCAUACCGAUCUUUUAAGUAAUUCAUCCGACGAAAUAUGCAUUGUUACAUUCAUGCAUUGGAAUGAAAACAAUCAUUAAAUGCAUAUUAGAUUCAUUGAAAUUUAAUAUUGCUUUUAAAAAAUGAAAUUGAACACCAAU
rnacentral:sRNA from 1 species